rnacentral:rRNA from 1 species
UACGUAGGGCGCAAGCGUUGUUCGGAAUUACUGGGCGUAAAGGGCUCGUAGGCGGCCAACUAAGUCAGACGUGAAAUCCCCAGGCUCAACCUGGGAACUGCGUCUGAUACUGGAUGGCUUGAAUCCGGGAGAGGGAUGCAGAAUUCCAGGUGUAGCGGUGAAAUGCGUAGAUAUCUGGAGGAAUACCGGUGGCGAAGGCGGCAUCCUGGACCGGCAUUGACGCUGAGGAGCGAAAGCUAGGGGAGCAAACGGG